AGUUGACUGUAAAAAAAAUAUUGCAGCUUUCUCAAGUAAUUGAGAUCGAAAAAUAAGGUGAAUUGCUGGAAGCCUAAAACAACCAAGUUAUGGUAAUCAGCAGCCAAGCCCUAAAUAUUUUAGGGAAGGUUCAGAGACUAUCCUUAACAGGAGUACAUUGUGAAAGCAGUGGAAGCGCCUUACUCCUUUGAUGUAAAUCAAAGGAAGAUGAUAUAGUCCACGCUAUUUGGAAACAAGUAG
rnacentral:ncRNA from 1 species